rnacentral:rRNA from 1 species
AGUGAGCGCUGGCGGUAGGCCUAACACAUGCAAGUCGAACGGCAGCACAGUAAGAGCUUGCUCUUACGGGUGGCGAGUGGCGGACGGGUGAGGAAUACAUCGGAAUCUACUUUUUCGUGGGGGAUAACGCAGGGAAACUUACGCUAAUACCGCAUACGACCUACGGGUGAAAGCAGGGGAUCUUCGGACCUUGCGCGAUUGAAUGAGCCGAUGUCGGAUUAGCUAGUUGGCGGGGUAAAGGCCCACCAAGGCGACGAUCCGUAGCUGGUCUGAGAGGAUGAUCAGCCACACUGGAACUGAGACACGGUCCAGACUCCUACGGGAGGCAGCAGUGGGGAAUAUUGGACAAUGGGCGCAAGCCUGAUCCAGCCAUACCGCGUGGGUGAAGAAGGCCUUCGGGUUGUAAAGCCCUUUUGUUGGGAAAGAAAAGCAGCAGGUUAAUACCCCGCUGUUCUGACGGUACCCAAAGAAUAAGCACCGGCUAACUUCGUG